AGUGAGGAUUGUCAGGAAUACAGAGCUAGUUACUAAAGUGAGGAUUGUCGGGAAUACAGAGCUAGUUACUAAAGUGAGGAUUGUCGGGAAUACAGAGCUAUUUACUAAAGUGAGGAUUGUCUGGAAUACAGAGCUAGUUACUAAAGUGAGGAUUGUCGGGAAUACAGAGCUAGUUACUAAAGUGAAGAAUUGUCAGGAAUACAGAGCUAUUUACUAAAGUGAGGAUUGUCAGGAAUACAGAGCUAGUUACUAAAGUGAGGAUUGUCGGGAAUACAGAGCUAGUUACUAAAGUGAGGAUUGUCGGGAAUACAGAGCUAGUUACUAAAGUGAGGAUUGUCGGGAAUACAGAGCUAGUUACUAAAGUGAGGAUUGUCAGGAAUACAGAGCUAGUUACUAAAGUGAGGAUUGUCAGGAAUACAGAGCUAGUUACUAAGGUGAAGAUUGUCAGGAAUACAGAGCUGGUUACUAAAGUGAGGAUUGUCAGGAAUACAGAGCUAGUUACUAAAGUGAGGAUUGUCAGGAAUGGUGAAAACCAAUCUCAAAAUUAGCUAAUAAACUAUGCUUCCAGAUUGCCGAAUUUAUUCUCCAAUUUAAAUUUCACAUUAAAUUAAAACAAAG